AUCUUGUUCUAAUAUACUUGGAUACUUGCAAGCCCAAAUCCAAAACACAUAACCCAAAAUCAAGUUUAUUUUUCAACAAAAUUGAGGAAGAAAAUUCUUCAGAUAACAUAAAAAAGCGCCGAGGAAAUAAAUUAGGGUAUUACCUGCUGAAGUUGUUUUUUCAUAAGUAGAGAGAUACGAAGCGAAUUGUUCAACUCCAACUUCAUCUCCUCCACUUUGCAUUUUUUAAAAUCAAACUACUUAAGAUUCGAACAAAACUACCCAAAUAUUUCUGGAUUCCUGAUGACGAAGUCGAGUUCCAGGUGUGCGUCGGAGGAAGAGAGCGGAAGAAUUGUCGAAGAAUGUGACUUUUCAAUAAGAGAAGCAACUUUUCAACAGGGAAAGCAACUUUUGGGUACAUUUCUUUUAAACUAUUACGGUAAAUUCAAUUUUGAAGGCAAAUAAAUGGAAAAAUAGAUAAACAGUCGUUCCUGCCCUAAAUGAUGCCACGUCAUCUCUCUUAGGUCCCUCAAUUAUAAUUAUAUACAAAUUGGAUGUGUUUAGUAAGAAGAAAAAUACUAUUCAAAAAAUAUUUUUUAAUUUUUUUUAUAUUUGAUAAACUUAAAUAUUUUGAAAACUAUUUACUAAAAGAUAAAUAGGUCAAAAAUAUAGGUAAAAAAAGAAUGAACAAUUUGGACAUUAAUUGAAAAAUAUCAGUGUUUGCAAAGUAUUUAAAAAUUGCCACUAUUUAAUCCGGAGAAAAAUUUAAACAAAAAUAUCCUUCACUAAAUCACAAAAAAUCUAGAAUAAUAUGCUAGAUUAUGAAACUCCUUCGUAUAAAAUUCUAGCAUAUUAUACUUGAUUCCAGCACAUAAUGCUAGAAUUUUAUAUAUAAAAAAAAUUAUACUCCAACAUACUAUGCUGGAUUAUUCCAGAUUUUAACUAAGCAUAAUUUUUGUCUACAAACUGAUGAUUCACCUAUUCCCUUCUCUAGUGAGGAAUGGAGUCAGGGAUGCCCAACUCAAGAUAAGUCCUAAGAUGUUGUUAAAGUAUCCUUAAUAGCAUCUCCUUUUCUAGAAUCUUGGUUUGGAAAUCUUUGGUGAAUCAACACAGGUUCUUUUGUAAUUAGGUCGUUCCCCCCGUAUUAACUCCUUCAAUAAGUCAGUAAAUUAGUAAGUCCAUCAAUUUUUAGUGUAUAGUAAUAGUCUCACCACCUCGUAAACUAGUUCAGUAAUAAGUGAGUAGAAUAUGUGCUUUGGUGGGCCCAGUCAUCCAGUAAGAAGAAGUAGUUUCGCCAAGAAUGCACACAAGCUGCUCAGAAAGAGCACAACUCUAACUAAAAAAGGGCUAAAUUUUGAUGAAUUGUAGAAUUAUGACUAAUAUUUAAAUAGCAAAUCAGGCUAAUACUCAAUUUCUUUCAAAAGAUAUAGGAAAGAAGGAAAUACAGUUAGCUCUUUGUUUCAUUUAUGUUAUAGGCAUCAUUAAAUAGGCAAAUACAAAAUAGCAGCAAAAGAAUUUGGAAUUUUUCACUUUUAGUGUGUUCCAAAAACUAUUUAUAUUUGGUAGCCGAAAAGUAUAUAAACUUUAUAUAAUUUUUGCAUAUAACAUAUAAAAUAUACACAUAUAUAUAAAUAUUUUUUUAGGAGCAAUUAUACAUGGUCAUUUUCCAAAAGAAAUUUAAAUCAAAGGAACAAUCCAAGCCUGAAUCAAUCCACAAUAUAAAAAAAGCUCCAACCUAAUUAAGUAGAAACACUACGGAGGACGACCGCCUCAAUGGUUAUCCCAGGUCCAAAACCAAAAAGGACACCCCACUCCAGCCCUUCACCGGUGGUACCCAAUCCUUCCUUAACAGAGGCUUUCCUCAUCUCGUCCAAAACAAAAAAAACAAAGGCACUGCUCAUGUUCCCAUAUUCACUCAGGACAUGCCUUGUAGCCUUGAGUUUUUCAGGCUUUAGACCCAAUUUUAAUUCAAUUUGAUCCAAAAUUGCACGUCCACCUGCAUGAGAUACCCAAAAUAUGGAGUUCCAAUCAAAAAUACCCAAAGGCUGGAAUGCUCCCACUAGAAUCUUCUCUAUGUCUUUUGAUAUUAGCAUUGGAGUAUCCUUAUGUAUUUCUCCUAUCAAUCCAGCCUCAUUGAGAUUACCAGUAAUUGCAUGUCCACUAUCCGGG
rnacentral:lncRNA from 1 species